UACGGAGGGUGCAAGCGUUAUCCGGAUUCACUGGGUUUAAAGGGUGCGUAGGCGGGUUAGUAAGUCCGUGGUGAAAUCUCUGAGCUUAACUCAGAAACUGCCGUGGAUACUAUUUGCCUUGAAUAUUGUGGAGGUGAGCGGAAUAUGUCAUGUAGCGGUGAAAUGCUUAGAUAUGACAUAGAACACCAAUUGCGAAGGCAGCUCACUACGCAAUCAUUGACGCUGAGGCACGAAAGCGUGGGGAUCAAACAGG
rnacentral:rRNA from 1 species